GAUGAAGAACGUAGUGAAAUGCGAUACGUAAUGUGAAUUGCAGAAUUCAGUGAAUCAUCGAAUCUUUGAACGCAUAUUGCGCUCUCUGGUAUUCCGGAGAGCAUGCUUGUUUGAGUAUCAGUAAACACCUCAACUUCCAUAUCUUUUUUGAAAUGGGAGUUGGACUUGAGUGAUCCCAACGCUUUUCCUCACCGAAAAGUGGCGGGUUACUUGAAAUGCAGGUGCAGCUGGACUUUUCUCUGAGCUAUAAGCAUAUCUAUUUAGUCUGCCUAAAAAACAGAUUAUUACCUUUGCUGCAGCUAACAUAAAGGAGAUUAGUUCUCGUGCUGACUGAUGCAGGAUUCACAAAGACAGGCUUCGGCCGACUUUGUAAACUCGAUCUCAAAUCAAGUAAGACUACCCGCUGAACUUAAGCAUAUCAAUAAGCGGAGGA
rnacentral:misc_RNA from 1 species